rnacentral:rRNA from 1 species
CCUACGGGAGGCAGCAGUAGGGAAUAUUGCUCAAUGGGGGAAACCCUGAAGCAGCAACGCCGCGUGGAGGAUGAAGGUUCUCGGAUUGUAAACUCCUUUUUUUAGAGAAGAUAAUGACGGUAUCUAACGAAUAAGCACCGGCUAACUCCGUGCCAGCAGCCGCGGUAAUACGGAGGGUGCCAGCGUUACUCGGAUUCACUGGGCGUAAAGCGCGCGUAGGCGGGAUAGCAAGUCAGAUGUGAAAUCCUAUGGCUUAACCCUAGAACUGCAUUUGAAACUGUUAUUCUAGAGUAUGGGAGAGGUAGGUGGAAUUCUUGGUGUAGGGGUAAAAUCCGUAGAGAGCACGAGGAAUACUCAUUGCGAAGGCGACCUGCUAGAACAUAACUGACGCUGAUGCGCGAAAGCGUGGGGAGCAAACAGGAUUAGAUACCCUUGUAGUC